rnacentral:rRNA from 1 species
GAUGAACGCUGGCGGCGUGCCUAAUACAUGCAAGUCGAGCGAACAGAUGAGGAGCUUGCUCCUCUGACGUUAGCGGCGGACGGGUGAGUAACACGUGGAUAACCUACCUAUAAGACUGGGAUAACUUCGGGAAACCGGAGCUAAUACCGGAUAAUAUAUUGAACCGCAUGGUUCAAUAGUGAAAGACGGUUUUGCUGUCACUUAUAGAUGGAUCCGCGCCGCAUUAGCUAGUUGGUAAGGUAACGGCUUACCAAGGCGACGAUGCGUAGCCGACCUGAGAGGGUGAUCGGCCACACUGGAACUGAGACACGGUCCAGACUCCUACGGGAGGCAGCAGUAGGGAAUCUUCGGCAAUGGGCGAAAGCUUGACGGAGCAACGCCGCGUGAGUGAUGAAGGUCUUCGGAUCGUAAAACUCUGUUAUUAGGGAAGAACAAAUGUGUAAGUAACUAUGCACGUCUUGACGGUACCUAAUCAGAAAGCCACGGCUAACUACGUG